CCGAGCUUGACGUAUCGGUGCACGUCAAUCAUCGGAGAACAAGUUACCUGCCAGAUACGCUAAUACCGCGACAGAACGAGACGCUGUUGCUCGAGUUGUUUAUUUCGCACAGGUGACUCGCUGAAGCGCGAUCUACUGAGACACGCGCCUGCCGUUCUUUUCCGGGCCGAUAGAUGGCACUGUUGCACUUCCGCUCAGAGGAAACGCCUUCUGCAUUCUUAACGCGUCCACGUGUUCACUCAUUGUGAAUAUGAGAAUAGUCCGUUUUAGAAAAGCUUGCUGAGGCCCCCUAAUGGGGCCCCGGGCCCUGGCCUCCUGUUUGAGAUCCUUUGAUCUAAAGCUCGGAUUCAAAUGGAAUAUGUAAAGGGAGUCAGAACAUCAAAAGAUGGAUUUUCGUGCACGCUUUAGCACAUAUGCAUACGGCUGCACGCCUGCUCAUAAAUACAGAACACCGGCCCCUGCUAACAGUUGUCAGGUUGUCAGGACGAAAUGACCUUUACCUAAAUGACUGCACGUCUCUUCACACCACAUUGAGUGGCUCUGCAUUGGUAGACUGGCCUCUGUUGGACAUCGUCACGUUCCUGAUGAAAUGCAGUGAAUCUGAAGGAAAUUAAAGGAACGGUUCAUCCAAAAGGGAUGAUUUGCUGGAGCUUCACUCACCCUCAGGCCAUCCAAGAAUUAGAUGGGAACGGAAAAGAUAAUCUGCAGUGAAUGCGUUCUGUCAGAGUCCAAACAGCUGAUAAAAAUAUCACAAUAAUCCACACGACUGAGGAGUUUCAUGGAUUACAGACUUUGUGAUUUUACCUGAAGAAUGGUUCAAAAUCGAAAUGCCUUAAUGAGUCAUUACUUUUUACAAACACGCCGGUUUUUACUUUGCAAGAAGUUGAUUAAUGGGCUGGAGUUUGUAUGGAUUAUUGCGUUAGCUGUUUGGCCUCUUAUUCUGACGGCACCCAUUCACUUCAGAAGAUCCUUCGUG